GACUCCCGCGAUACCCCGGAUUUGCUUGCGGACCGAUAGAAUUUUAGAAUGGGUUGGGUGAGGACUGACGCUGGUGUUUCGAGGGUUGGCCUCCGAGAUGCUUCGUCUCCUCCACCUCCUUUCCUUUGGGUCCCCUCAUCAAUUCCAGUCCACUAGCACAGCUCGUCUUGUCCCAUCGGCCGCUUGCAGGUUUCACCUGCUUUGCCAAGAAGACUCUGCGCCUGCUCAUCGCCUUCUUCUUCCCCGUCGUCUUCCAGCCAAGACAAGAUUCGAGCCGUCCGUGGUGACCGAUCGUCAGUCCAGAGACGCCGCCGGGAACGGAACACCGUCGCGACGCCGCCAGAUUAAAUCGCCGCCUCCAGACUAGCAUUCAACAUGCCGAACAGCAGCGGCGUGACCGUGUUCGACGACCUGCCCGAGUGGCUUGUCGUUGACGAGAUCCUUGUCCGGCUGCCGGCCAAGGAUGUACUUCGGUAGCGUGCCGUCCGCCAGUCGUGGCGCAGCGGCACUUCCACCAACGCGUUCAUCCUCAACCACCACCACCGCCAGCCCUCGCUCCCCAUCAUCAAAAACAUAGAGGGCAUCUACCGCCAUGCCGGAUCCCCUAGUGAUCAAAAGAUACAGCGUGUCCUCCGGAACGCAGAUCCCUUUAAAAACGAGAUGACUCUAUGUCAUGCCGCUUGUGAUGGCUUCCUCAUCCUGGAGAAGCAAUCCAAUUUCUACAUCUGCAACCCUACCACCCGCAAGUGUGCUUCCCUGCCACAUCCUCCACGACGGCCAGGCUUCAGCGCCUUCGGCGUAGUCGGCUUCUACUGGCUCCACACAUCUGGAGAACACCGGGUUCUCUGGGCGUCAUACUUGAACCAAAUGCCGUACUUGGUACUCAUUGGGGCUGCCGUCCCAACUGAGUUGCCUGAUUACUUCGUACUCACAGUUGGAUCGGACCAGCCAAGAUGCAUCCAAUGGCUGACAAUUUGAAAAUAUGGGUUUCCUACCCUGUCCUUCAAUACUCCACCAGUCCACAAUCGUGCUCGCCUGCACUGGGCAACAUGGGCAACAGGCCUCAACAUAACGGUAUUUGACACCGUAGCCGAGACAUUCUGGCAGAUGAGCCGCCCAGCACAGUUGGGUGAUAAGGUGACAUUGUUGGAUAUGUGCGGCUCCCUUGCCUUGUGCUGCACCACCAAUGACUGUGUCAAUUUAGAUGUUUGGGUGUUGCAGGACUAUGAUGCUGAAACCUGGGGCUUUCAGUACCGGUUUAACUUGUCAGCAAUGGAGGCAUUGCCACCAUUUAAGUUUGACCUCAAUGCUCUCCCUAGGAUGGCUGUGAUCAAUGAGCGUGAGCUGUUGAUCGAGCAGUGUGUUGGCCGUCUGUUGCAUUGUGACAUUGAUGGUGUGUUUUUAGGAUAUGUGCGAGCCAAGGAGCCUGGGAACCACUUUAUGCUAACUAUGCAGCGCCUCCAAGAGAGCAUGAUUUCAGUCCCAUUGUUUGAGGCGCAGGAAGAAGAUGCUGUGAACAAGGAGUCUCCAUUCGUCAUGGUGCUAUAAGAUGCCAGGCUCCAUCUUAAUGAUUUCGACUAGCUGUUUGUUGUGCCCUUGGGAGUAUCUAUCCUGUAUGAACCUUGCUUUCUGUUCUGUCUUCUUACUUUUUAGUACUAGUAGAACCGAACACUUUGUAUGUCUGAAGUAGCGCCUCAUCACUUGGUGCUUGUUAUGCUAUCUUGAGCAUCAUGUUGAUGUUGUAAAAAAUUGUGUGUCUAUGCUAUUGCUAUGUAGAACUGCUAUAAUGUUCAUGUUCACCCCUGUUGACUUUCA